CGGGAUAGCUCAGCUGGAAGAGCAGAGGACUGAAAAUCCUCGUGCCCCCC
rnacentral:tRNA from 1 species